rnacentral:rRNA from 1 species
AGUCAACCUACCCUAUGGACGGGAAUAACCUCGGGAAACUGAGAAUAAUGCCCGAUAGAACAUUAUGCCUGGAAUGGUUUAUGUUCCAAAUGAUUCAUCGCCGUAGGAUGGGACUGCGGCCUAUCAGUUUGUUGGUGAGGUAAUGGCCCACCAAGACUAUUACAGGUACGGGCUCUGAGAGGAGUAGCCCGGAGAUGGGUACUGAGACACGGACCCAGGCCCUAUGGGGCGCAGCAGGCGAGAAAACUUUGCAAUGUGCGAAAGCACGACAAGGUUAAUCCGAGUGGUUUCUGCUAAAGGAACCUUUUGUCGGUCCUAGAAACACCGAUGAAUAAGGGGUGGGCAAGUUCUGGUGUCAGCCGCCGCGGUAAAACCAGCACCUCAAGUGGUCAGGAUGAUUAUUGGGCCUAAAGCAUCCGUAGCCUGCUUUGUAAGUUUUCGGUUAAAUCCAUGUGCUCAACACAUGGGCUGCCGGGAAUACUGCACAGCUAGGGAGUGGGAGAGGUAGACGGUACUUGAUAGGAAGGGGUAAAAUCCUUUGAUCUAUUGAUGACCACCUGUGGCGAAGGCGGUCUACCAGAACACGUCCGACGGUGAGGGAUGAAAGCUGGGGGAGCAAACCGGAUUAGAUACCCGGGUAGUCCCAGCUGUAAACUAUGCAAACUCAGUGAUGCAUUGGCUUGUGGCUAAUGCAGUGCU